CAGCAGCCGCGGUAAAACGGAGGGAGCUAGCGUUGUUCGGAAUCACUGGGCGUAAAGCGCACGUAGGCGGCUAUUCAAGUCAGGGGUGAAAGCCCGGGGCUCAACCCCGGAACUGCCUUUGAAACUAGAUAGCUUGAAUCUUGGAGAGGCGAGUGGAAUUCCGAGUGUAGAGGUGAAAUUCGUAGAUAUUCGGAAGAACACCAGCGGCGAAGGCGACUCGCUGGACAAGUAUUGACGCUGAGGUGCGAAAGCGUGGGGAGCAAACAGGAUUAGAUACCCCAGUAGUCCCUGUCUCUUAUAC
rnacentral:rRNA from 1 species